rnacentral:rRNA from 1 species
CAUGCAAGUCGAGCGGUAGCACAGGGAGCUUGCUCUCGGGUGACGAGCGGCGGACGGGUGAGUAAUGUCUGGGAAACUGCCUGAUGGAGGGGGAUAACUACUGGAAACGGUAGCUAAUACCGCAUAACGUCGCAAGACCAAAGAGGGGGACCUUCGGGCCUCUUGCCAUCAGAUGUGCCCAGAUGGGAUUAGCUAGUAGGUGGGGUAACGGCUCACCUAGGCGACGAUCCCUAGCUGGUCUGAGAGGAUGACCAGCCACACUGGAACUGAGACACGGUCCAGACUCCUACGGGAGGCAGCAGUGGGGAAUAUUGCACAAUGGGCGCAAGCCUGAUGCAGCCAUGCCGCGUGUAUGAAGAAGGCCUUCGGGUUGUAAAGUACUUUCAGCGGGGAGGAAGGUGUUGAGGUUAAUAACCCCAGCAAUUGACGUUACCCGCAGAAGAAGCACCGGCUAAC